AAUCAACGCUGGCGGCGUGCCUAACACAUGCAAGUCGAACGAGAAAGUGGAGCAAUCCAUGAGUACAGUGGCGACCGGGUGAGUAACACGUGACUAACCUACCCAGAAGCGGGGAAUAACCUCGGGAAACCGGGGCUAAUACCGCAUGAAGUCAUGAGGUGGAAUUCCUUGUGACCAAAGGAGUAAUUCGCUUUUGGAGGGGGUCGCGGCUGAUUAGCUAGUUGGCGGGGUAACGGCCCACCAAGGCAAUGAUCAGUAUCCGGCCUGAGA
rnacentral:rRNA from 1 species